rnacentral:lncRNA from 1 species
GGCAGGGAAAGGGAGAGGUUACAUUAAUCCCCAUUGUACAGAUAAGGACUUUGCUCUCUUACACAUGGCCCUCUGCCCAGGGCUACCUUUAGCAUUUUAGACAUACCCUAUUUAGUCUCAGAGGUUUGCAUUUCAUCUAUAUUCUCUAGGGGAAAAUAUAUAUUUUUUUCAAAAGAACAAUAUGUAAGAGAAAGAGACAAUAAAAAGUAUCCAUCACAAAAAUCAGGUUGAGGGCUAGAGAUGCUGCUGGACUGGUAGGUGCUGACCAGAAUGCACGAAGCCCUGGGUCCAAUCCCCAGCACAGGGUUAAUCAAGUGUGGCAGGCAGGCCUGAGUUCUGGAAGGUGAAGGAGGGAGGAACAGAGGGUCAAGGUCAUCAUAGGCUACAUAUGAGUUUGAGGCCAGCUUGGAAUAUGUGACAUCUUGCCUUUGAAAAAAAAAGUUAUUCCUUUAGAAGGCAAGGUUGCCCUCCCUUUCUGAUACAGCUCAGUCCUUUGUGUUUGCUUAUUUUUGCUUGCUUGUUUGUUUGUUUGCUUUGUUGUUUUCUCUUUUUGCAUCCCUGGCUAUUUGGUAACUCCCUUUGUAGACAGGGCUGGCCUUGAACUCACAGAGAUCUGCCUGCCUCUGCCACCUGGCUUUUUUUUUUUUUCAUUUUAAGACAGUCUUGCUAAAUUGCUAGAGCCAUUUGGAACUGGCCAUCCCUCUGCCUUGGUUUCCUGUAUGGUCCACCUGGCUCACAGCAUACUCUUUACACAGGUCCUUGUGAGGGAGGCACUUACUGAGGGCAGAGGAGCUGAGAGGCCCAGGCUCAAACUGCAUCCAGCCACUUGUCCUCCCCAACCUCCCAUCUCCUCAUGGGUAAUCUUCCUUUGGCUCUUGCAGUCAAGAGGUAAGAACACUCUAAAGUGCUCAGCUCAGCCUCUAGCUUGUCCUUAGUGGCCAAGCACAAUGGCUGUUGCUACUGAAUGACUCUUGUGAACUUUCCUCUUAAUAACAAUUAUUGUUGAUUAUCCCCUUUUCAUUCAUUUUGUUCUAUCUUGCACAUUCUCAAGCUGAGGUUCCAGAAAACCAGGUAAGAGUUUGGCAUGGUGCGUGCUGGAAGCUCUCCUACCCUGACUGAUGGCCUUCCAAUCUGAUGACUUCUGCACUACUGGGCUUAGCUGUUGCUCUCCCAGAGAGCAGACCUCUGCCAUAACUGUAGUCCUUAUUUGUAGACAAGUAAGGCAGGCGAUACACAUCAAGGUGAAGCUGUUAGGAGACAGAUGACUCUCUUGGGUUCUGGGCCUCAGACCAGGAACCUGCUCCUCUUUUUCCUGACACUAAGAAUCUCAGUCUUUUCCUCCUCCCACAGCAAGCACAUUCCCAAUGCAGCCGCUCCCAGUCCCCACUCCACCCCAAGAGCCAGCCUCGGUCCUCCUUCUGAGAGAAUCAGAAGAAAAUGGCCACAAUUCCUAUUCUUCUCCCAAGGUUCCUGACAGAGUCCCUAGGCCUGUGACCUACCUUCAGCAGGUGCAAGUAACAGAAUCCAUGCAGGAAGGGAGGCCAGGUGGGGCCAGGCCACUCAUGGCCCAGGGUCCGGAUGAGGUGGGAGAUGUAGCUUGUGGCCAGAAUGAGUGCAUCCAACUUAUAAAUGUUGGUGUCAGGUAGUACUGCAGGGUCAGAAAGGCUUGACAAAGUGUCCAUUCCCAAGCUGGGUUCUCCGGGCUGGAAUCACUCUGCAGAGAGGAUCCAUGACUGCAGAUUCCCAUCUAACCAUGGCUUCUUGUUAUUGUUGCUAUUGUUGGAACAGAGUUUCAUGUAGCCCAGACUAUACCUGAAAUUCCUGUUUAGUCCAGGAUGACCUUUUACUCAGAAUCUGACUGCCUCCCCCUCCUAAGUGCUGGGAUUGUAGGGACAUACCUGGUUGACCCUGACUUCCACUGGCCCAUUAGUACCAUGUCUUCUGCUGGAACUAAUGAGCCUCACUACAUCUAAGCCAUGCCUCAUAAUACAAAUUAAGGAAGCCUAGGCUGGGAUCAGAUAACUAGAAGGUGGCAGCACUUGGCUCAGAACCCCAUUUUUCUUUCUAUUAUUGCAUUA